GAGAUGAGAAUGUGCCUUCGGGAACCGUGAGACAGGUGCUGCAUGGCUGUCGUCAGCUCGUGUUGUGAAAUGUUGGGUUAAGUCCCGCAACGAGCGCAACCCUUAUCCUUUGUUGCCAGCGAUUCGGUCGGGAACUCAAAGGAGACUGCCAGUGAUAAACUGGAGGAAGGUGGGGAUGACGUCAAGUCAUCAUGGCCCUUACGACCAGGGCUACACACGUGCUACAAUGGCGCAUACAAAGAGAAGCGACCUCGCGAGAGCAAGCGGACCUCAUAAAGUGCGUCGUAGUCCGGAUUGGAGUCUGCAACUCGACUCCAUGAAGUCGGAAUCGCUAGUAAUCGUGGAUCAGAAUGCCACGGUGAAUACGUUCCCGGGCCUUGUACACACCGCCCGUCACACCAUGGGAGUGGGUUGCAAAAGAAGUAGGUAGCUUAACCUUCGGGAGGGCGCUUACCACUUUGUGAUUCAUGACUGGGGUGAAGUCGUAACAAGGUAACCGUAGGGGAACCUGC
rnacentral:rRNA from 1 species